rnacentral:rRNA from 1 species
AUUGAACGCUGGCGGCAUGCUUUACACAUGCAAGUCGAACGGCAGCGCGGGGGCAACCCUGGCGGCGAGUGGCGAACGGGUGAGUAAUGCAUCGGAACGUAUCCUGUAGAGGGGGAUAACCAGUCGAAAGAUUGGCUAAUACCGCAUACGCUCGGGAGAGGAAAGCGGGGGACUCGCAAGGGCCUCGCGCUACAGGAGCGGCCGAUGUCCGAUUAGCUAGUUGGUGGGGUAAAGGCCUACCAAGGCGACGAUCGGUAGCUGGUCUGAGAGGAUGAUCAGCCACACUGGGACUGAGACACGGCCCAGACUCCUACGGGAGGCAGCAGUGGGGAAUUUUGGACAAUGGGCGAAAGACCUGAUCCAGCCAUGCCGCGUGCGGGAAGAAGGCCUCGUGUACGGUACUUACGUCGGUAAACGGGUAGGUACGGAGGAG